rnacentral:lncRNA from 10 species
AGAAAGGGAACCUGAAAGCCCACUCCCCCAUCAGAAGGCAUUACAGGGUUCCCUGGGACCCCUGCAGGUGCUUGGGAAACAGGCAGAUAAGGCACUUAGGAGACAUUGUGGGUCAGGAGUGACCCUAUGGGUCAGGCUUUGAGGAUGGAAGCAGCCAGCCCUUGGCAUAGUGUUCUCAGACAGACUCAGCCCAGGAGCGGGUCGUGAAAUCAAUUUGGUGGGGUGUGACCUGCAUUUUAAAUAGGAAAUUAGAAUCACAUCACCCUUGGUAAGGGUAAGUUUUGGUUUGUGUGUGCUAGGUCAUGAUGUCAAAAGUACUUCUGACUGUUGGUCACAUUAAAAAAACUGAGGCAGGGUGCGAUGGCUAACUCUUGUAAUCCCAGAGCUCUGGAAGGCUGAGGCUGAAGGAUGGUUUGAGCUCAGGAGUUUGAGACCAGCCUGGGCAACAUGGUGAUACCUCCUCUCUACAAAAGAUAAAAACAAAAUUAGCCAGGCAAGGUGGCAGUGGUGCUUGCCUGUGGUCCCAGCUACUCAGAAGGCUGAGGUGUAAGAAUCCCCAGAGCCCAGGAGGCGGAGGUUGCAGUGAGCUGAGAUGGCACCACUGCACUCCAGCCUGGAAGACAGAAUGAGACUUGGUCCCCUCCCCCACCAAAAAAAAAAAAAAAAAA